rnacentral:rRNA from 1 species
GACGAACGCUGGCGGCGUGCUUAACACAUGCAAGUCGAACGGAAAGGCCCUGCUUUUGUGGGGUGCUCGAGUGGCGAACGGGUGAGUAACACGUGGGUAACCUGCCCUUGACUUUGGGAUAACUUCAGGAAACUGGGGCUAAUACCGGAUAGGAGCUCCUGCUGCAUGGUGUGGGUUGGAGAGUUUCGGCGGUUGGGGAUGGACUCGCGGCUUAUCAGCUUGUUGGUGGGGUAGUGGCUUACCAAGGCUUUGACGGGUAGCCGGCCUGAGAGGGUGAACGGCCACAUUGGGACUGAGAUACGGCCCAGACUCCUACGGGAGGCAGCAGUGGGGAAUAUUGCACAAUGGGCGGAAGCCUGAUGCAGCAACGCCGCGUGCGGGAUGACGGCCUUCGGGUUGUAAACCGCUUUCGCCUGUGACGAAGCGUGAGUGACGGUAAUGGGUAAAGAAGCACCGGCUAACUACGUG